rnacentral:tRNA from 1 species
GGGAAAGAAGCUACAUAGCGAUUAGCUGUUACCUAAUAGACAGUGAAUAUAUUCACCUACCCUA